rnacentral:rRNA from 1 species
CAAUAGCGUAUAUUAAAGUUGUUGCGGUUAAAAAGCUCGUAGUUGGAUUUCUGCUGAGAACGACCGGUCCGCCCUCUGGGUGUGUAUCUGGCUCUUUCUUGGCAUCUUCUUGGUGAACGUUGCUGCACUUGACUGUGUGGAGCGCUACCCAGGACUUUUACUUUGAGGAAAUUAGAGUGUUUCAAGCAGGCAUACGCCUUGAAUACAUUAGCAUGGAAUAAUAAGAUAGGACCUCGGUUCUAUUUUGUUGGUUUCUAGAGCUGAGGUAAUGAUUAAUAGGGAUAGUUGGGGGCAUUCGUAUUUAACUGUCAGAGGUGAAAUUCUUGGAUUUGUUGAAGAUGAACAACUGCGAAAGCAUUUACCAAGGAUGUUUUCAUUAA